rnacentral:rRNA from 1 species
AACUCUAUGCGGUGGAUCACUCGGCUCGUGCGUCGAUGAAGAGCGCAGCCAGCCUUGCGUUGUGAAUUAAUGUGAAUUGCAGGACACCUGAACAUCGACACCUUGAACGCUACAGUUGUCGGCUCUGGCUCAUCUGCCAGAGCCACGCCUGUCCGAGGGUCG